UAGAAGCAGCCAUCAUUUAAAGAAAGCGUAAUAGCUCACUGGUCGAGUCGGCCUGCGCGGAAGAUGUAACGGGGCUAAACCAUGCACCGAAGCUGCGGCAGCGACGCUUAUGCGUUGUUGGGUAGGGGAGCGUUCUGUAAGCCUGUGAAGGUGUACUGUGAGGUAUGCUGGAGGUAUCAGAAGUGCGAAUGCUGACAUAAGUAACGAUAAAGCGGGUGAAAAGCCCGCUCGCCGGAAGACCAAGGGUUCCUGUCCAACGUUAAUCGGGGCAGGGUGAGUCGACCCCUAAGGCGAGGCCGAAAGGCGUAGUCGAUGGGAAACAGGUUAAUAUUCCUGUACUUGGUGUUACUGCGAAGGGGGGACGGAGAAGGCUAUGUUGGCCGGGCGACGGUUGUCCCGGUUUAAGCGUGUAGGCUGGUUUUCCAGGCAAAUCCGGAAAAUCAAGGCUGAGGCGUGAUGACGAGGCACUACGGUGCUGAAGCAACAAAUGCCCUGCUUCCAGGAAAAGCCUCUAAGCAUCAGGUAACAUCAAAUCGUACCCCAAACCGACACAGGUGGUCAGGUAGAGAAUACCAAGGCGCUUGAGAGAACUCGGGUGAAGGAACUAGGCAAAAUGGUGCCGUAACUUCGGGAGAAGGCACGCUGAUAUGUAGGUGAGGCGACUUGCUCGUGGAGCUGAAAUCAGUCGAAGAUACCAGCUGGCUGCAACUGUUUAUUAAAAACACAGCACUGUGCAAACACGAAAGUGGACGUAUACGGUGUGACGCCUGCCCGGUGCCGGAAGGUUAAUUGAUGGGGUUAGCGCAAGCGAAGCUCUUGAUCGAAGCCCCGGUAAACGGCGGCCGUAACUAUAACGGUCCUAAGGUAGCGAAAUUCCUUGUCGGGUAAGUUCCGACCUGCACGAAUGGCGUAAUGAUGGCCAGGCUGUCUCCACCCGAGACUCAGUGAAAUUGAACUCGCUGUGAAGAUGCAGUGUACCCGCGGCAAGACGGAAAGACCCCGUGAACCUUUACUAUAGCUUGACACUGAACAUUGAGCCUUGAUGUGUAGGAUAGGUGGGAGGCUUUGAAGUGUGGACGCCAGUCUGCAUGGAGCCGACCUUGAAAUACCACCCUUUAAUGUUUGAUGUUCUAACGUUGACCCGUGAUCCGGGUUGCGGACAGUGUCUGGUGGGUAGUUUGACUGGGGCGGUCUCCUCCUAAAGAGUAACGGAGGAGCACGAAGGUUGGCUAAUCCUGGUCGGACAUCAGGAGGUUAGUGCAAUGGCAUAAGCCAGCUUGACUGCGAGCGUGACGGCGCGAGCAGGUGCGAAAGCAGGUCAUAGUGAUCCGGUGGUUCUGAAUGGAAGGGCCAUCGCUCAACGGAUAAAAGGUACUCCGGGGAUAACAGGCUGAUACCGCCCAAGAGUUCAUAUCGACGGCGGUGUUUGGCACCUCGAUGUCGGCUCAUCACAUCCUGGGGCUGAAGUAGGUCCCAAGGGUAUGGCUGUUCGCCAUUUAAAGUGGUACGCGAGCUGGGUUUAGAACGUCGUGAGACAGUUCGGUCCCUAUCUGCCGUGGGCGCUGGAGAACUGAGGGGGGCUGCUCCUAGUACGAGAGGACCGGAGUGGACGCAUCACUGGUGUUCGGGUUGUCAUGCCAAUGGCACUGCCCGGUAGCUAAAUGCGGAAGAGAUAAGUGCUGAAAGCAUCUAAGCACGAAACUUGCCCCGAGAUGAGUUCUCCCUGACNNNNNNNNNNNNNGUCCUGAAGGAACGUUGAAGACGACGACGUUGAUAGGCCGGGUGUGUAAGCGCAGCGAUGCGUUGAGCUAACCGGUACUAAUGAACCGUGAGGCUUAACCUU
rnacentral:rRNA from 1 species